rnacentral:rRNA from 1 species
AACGAACGCUGGCGGCAGGCCUAACACAUGCAAGUCGAACGCUGUAGCAAUACAGAGUGGCAGACGGGUGAGUAACGCGUGGGAACAUGCCCUUCGGUUCGGAAUAACUCAGGGAAACUUGAGCUAAUACCGGAUACGCCCUUAGGGGGAAAGAUUUAUUGCCGAAGGAUUGGCCCGCGUCCGAUUAGCUAGUUGGUGAGGUAAUGGCUCACCAAGGCGACGAUCGGUAGCUGGUCUGAGAGCAUGAUCAGCCACACUGGGACUGAGACACGGCCCAGACUCCUACGGGAGGCAGCAGUGGGGAAUAUUGGACAAUGGGCGCAAGCCUGAUCCAGCCAUGCCGCGUGAGUGAUGAAGGCCCUAGGGUUGUAAAGCUCUUUCGCCAGGGACGAUAAUGACGGUACCUGGAUAAGAAGCCCCGGCUAACUUCGUGCCAGCCGCCGCCGUAACAC